AAAGAAAAACUGAGGGGGGCGGAGCCUGGCUGGGGAGCUGAUCAGAUGCGUGCAGCAAGAGCUCUCGUCUGAAAUCCUGUUUUACUCGAAAUAACCCCAGUUCUCAUGCUGCAAAAGUGUUUGAAUUUGCAUCACCCAGGUAGGGGCUGCAAAGGAGAACAUACAGAAGUUACUCCUGAAACUCUAAGCCGCCAGGAAGGCGGGCUGCAUUGAUGGGGCCU